GUGUGUAACUAACACCCUCUUUCUUAGUCUGGAUCGGCAAAAGUCGAAAAGCCGAAAUGCCGAAAACCGGUAUUUUGUAGAUUUGCGAGUGUGCGAAUGCUCGUGAGGAAAUCCCCAACCAUAGUGGGCUUGGAGCUGUGAGGGAAUUCGGAGUGGCCACCCGUUCUGAAAGUUUGAUUUUCUUCUUGUGAACUGGACAUCCUUUUAUUUACGUUUGAAGUUUUGGGUUUUUAAAUGUAAUAAGGCCGCUUAAUUAUUUUUAAUGGUUUUAAUAUGUAUUACUAAGAUAGGUAUUACUUA